GGAGAAUUGCUUGAACCCAGGAGGUGGAGGUUGCAGUGAGCUGAGAUCACGCCACUGCACUCCAGCCUGGGCGACAGAGU
rnacentral:miRNA from 1 species